GACGAACGCUGGCGGCGUGCCUAAUACAUGCAAGUAGAACGCUGAAGGAGGAGCUUGCUUCUCCGGAUGAGUUGCGAACGGGUGAGUAACGCGUAGGUAACCUACCUAUAACUGGGGGAUAGCCCGAAGAAAUUCGGAUUAAUACCCUAUAAUAUUUAGUCAUCGCAUGAUGAUUAUCUUAAAACUCCGGUGGUUAUAGAUGGGCAUGCGGCCUAUUAGUUUGUUGGUGAGGUAAUGGCUCACCAAGACUACGAUAGGUAGGGGGUCUGAGAGGAUGAUCCCCCACACUGGUACUGAGACACGGACCAG
rnacentral:rRNA from 1 species